rnacentral:lncRNA from 1 species
UUUGACGGACCCCAUAUGGAUUUAUCAUGCAUAUCUUUUCCGAUUGGACAAAGCUUUAUAAUUUGUCCAAGUACGCACUCCAACCAACCAAACCAAAAUACUGAACCCACCUUUAAUUUGCUUCUCGUCCAAAUUUGGGCAAUCACCAGAGGCGGUGCAGAUCAUUGACACAGCUUAACUUAAUUAGCUGUUGCCUCAAAGAGGUGGCCUCUCGUGCCGGAGUUGGCAGGUUACUUGCCUUCAACUGAACGUUGGAGAAUCUAAGGUACUUGACUUGGGAGGAUUUGAGGGUUGAUUUGCAGGAACUGAUCUUCACAGAGCUGAUGAAAAAUACUAAUGAUCGACCGGGAUUUUUAAAAGAUGGAAGAAGGCGGUGAUUUGCUUAAAAUAGUGUAUAUUAUUGAUAUUCAUGGUGAACCUAAUAUGCAAGGACGGAGCUAACUACUAAAGGCUAGGGGGAACAACUGACUAAGACCCUUUA